AUGCAUUCACAUAUAGAUAGCUUAUUUGCAUUGUUCAAAAAACUUUGUAGUCUCAAUGAUGAUGCAUACAUGUCAACGAUGGGUGUUGGCUCCAACAAUUCGCAUUGGUCUCAAACCAAUGACAUGCAUUUCGAAAUCCAUGAGUUCGAGGUGGACGAGGAGGGUGAUGGCAUUGUCGACACACCGAAAGGAAGAGAGGGCAAUUACACCAACGCCGAUGACAUCUUACUAUGCAAUACUUGGUUGCAAGUGUCGAGGGAUCCAUCCGUUGGAGGUGAUCAAAGUAGAGAUGCUUAUUGGCUUCGGAUGAAAGAACACUUUGAUGUUCGCAACGUGAGUGGAAUUGACCGUUUCGACCGAUCACUUCGGUCCCGGUGGUCGACAAUCAGCUCAGAUUGUCAAAGGUGGGCGGCCUGUCAAAAGGAGGUUGACAAGUUGAACCCAGGUGGCACAAAUGAGCACGAUAGAGUAAGUGGCAUUUCAUACAUGUUCAUCAUACAUGUUCAUCAUACUUGUUGUUGGUGCUAA
rnacentral:rRNA from 1 species